UCAACUUGAUUAACUAAUAGUCAAAACUUUCAACAACGGAUCUCUUGGUUCUCGCAUCGAUGAAGAACGCAGCGAAAUGCGAUAAGUAAUAUGAAUUGCAGAUAUUCGUGAAUCAUCGAAUCUUUGAACGCACAUUGCGCCCUUUGGUAUUCCAAAG
rnacentral:rRNA from 1 species